GAAAGAAACGUCUACAUGAUGAAAUGAUGAUGAAGAGACAGACGUCAGUAGCCAGAGAAGAUGAUCGGCUGAAGACUUAAGAACGAACAGAAUAUCAACAUGCAACCACCGAUACCACAGCUCUGACUCUUGCUCUCGCUCUGGUUGAUGUGUGAGCGCACUCUACCUGGAGAUGGGCCCAUACAAGGAAUUCCACCCUUUAUGAUGUCAUACAGUGCCAUAUUCGGAAAAAAAAAAAAAAAACUUUCACAGAAAUAAUCUGUCAUAUGUCCAAAUCGUUUUUUUUUUAAUUUGGCCAUGUUUAGCAUGAGAAUCCAACUCUUUAACAGUGUAAAGAAGUCACAAUGCAUGACAUGACAUAGCAUUAGA